UAUGGCGGCUGUACGUGCGGGCACCUUCGUGUGCGCCGAGUGCCAACAAUCUCGGUCUGUCAACCCGCGUACAGCUGCCACCCUC
rnacentral:antisense_RNA from 17 species